rnacentral:rRNA from 1 species
CCUACGGGUGGCAGCAGUGAGGAAUAUUGGUCAAUGGGCGCGAGCCUGAACCAGCCAAGUCGCGUGAGGGAAGACGGUCCUAUGGAUUGUAAACCUCUUUUGUCGGGGAGCAAAAGACGCCACGCGUGGCGUUCUGAGAGUACCUGAAGAAAAAGCAUCGGCUAACUCCGUGCCAGCAGCCGCGGUAAUACGGAGGAGGCAAGCGUUAUCCGGAUUUACUGGGUGUAAAGGGAGCGUAGACGGCGAUGCAAGUCAGAAGUGAAAGGCGGGGGCCCAACCCCCGGACUGCUUUUGAAACUGUAUGGCUGGAGUGCAGGAGAGGUAGGUGGAAUUCGCGGUGUAGCGGUGAAAUGCGUAGAUAUUAGGAGGAACACCGGUGGCGAAGGCGGCUUGCUGGACUGUAACUGACGUUGAGGCUCGAAAGCGUGGGGAGCGAACAGGAUUAGAUACCCCUGUAGUC